rnacentral:rRNA from 1 species
GAGUGCUUGAAAUUGCGGGAGGGAAGCGGAUGGGGACGGCGAUGCACCUCGGUUGGAUGCGAACGGCGGUUAACCGGUCCGCCUUCGGCCGCCGGGGUGCGGAUCGAUCGCGGGCUGCAUCGACGGCCGGCUUGGGACGGAUCGUUCGUUCGAGGGGAUACCGUCGAUCGGUCGAGGACAUGACGACGCCAUCAGCGUGCCUUGCGGGUACACGCGGCGACCUAGGCAUCGGCCGGUGGGCUCCCCAUUCGACCCAUCUUGAAACACGGACCAAGGAGUCCGACAUGCGCGUGCGAAGUCGACGCAAGGUGCGAAACCCGGAAGGCACAAGGAAGCUAACGGGCGGGAACCCUCUCGAGGGGUUGCACCGCCGGCCGACCCCGAUCUUCUGUGAGGGUUCGAGUUGGAGCAUGCAUGUCGGGACCCGAAAGAUGGUGAACUGUGCCGCGGUAAUUCCGGCUCCAAUAGCGUAUAUUUAAGUUUUUGCAGUUAAAAAGCUCGUAGUUGGACUUUGGGACGGGUCGGUCUUUCUGCCUCGCGGUGUGCACCGGUCGUCCCAUCCCUUCUGUCGGCGAUGCGUGCCUGGCCUUCACUGGCCGGGUCGUGCCUCCGGCGCUAUUACUUUGAAGAAAUUAGAGUGCUCAAAGCAAGCCCACGCUCUGGAUACAUUAGCAUGGGAUAACAUCACAGGAUUUCGGUCCUAUUGUGUUGGCCUUGGGAUCGGAGUAAUGAUUAAGAGGGACAGUGGGGCAUUCGUAUUUCAUAGUCGAGGUGAAAUUCUUGGAUUUAUGAAAGACGAACCCACUGAAAAAGCAUUUGCCAAGGAUGUUUUCAUUAAUCAAGAACCAAAGUUGGGGACUCGAAGAUGAUCGAUACCGCCCUAGUCUCAACCAUAAACGAUGCCGACCAGGGAUCGGCGGAUGUUGUCUUAGGACUCACGGCACCUUAUGAGAAAUCAAAGUCUUUGGGUUAGGGGGGGAGUAUGGUCGCAAGGCUAAAACUUAAAGGAAUUGACGGAAGGGCACCACCAGGAGUGGAGCCUGCGGCUUAAUUUGACUCAACACGGGAAACUUACCGGGUCCGGAUAUAGCAAGGAUUGAUGAUCGAGAGCUCUUUCUUGAUUCUAUGGGUGGUGGUGCAUGGCCGUUCUUAGUUGGUGGAGCGAUUUGUCGGGUUAAGUCCGAUAACUAACGAGACCCUCACCGCUAACUAGCUACGCUGGAGGCAUCCCUCCACUCCCAACUUCUUAGAGGGACUAUGGUCGUUUAGGCCACGGAAGUUUGAGGCAAUAACAGGUCUGUGAUGCCCUUAGAUGUUCUGGGCGCACACGCUGCCAAUCGAUAUAUUCAACGAGUCUAUAGCCUUGGCCGACAGGCCGGGUAAUCUUUGAAAAUUUCAUCGUGAUGGGGAUAGAUCAUUGCAAUUGUUGGUCUUCAACGAGGAAUUCCUAAAGCGCGAGUCAUCAGCUCGCGUUGACUAUGUCCAUGCCCUUUGUACACACCGCCGUCGCUCCUACCCAUUGAAUGGUCCGGUGAAGUGUUCGAUCGAGCGACGGGCGGUUCGUCGCCCAUGACGUCGUGAGAAGUCCACUGAACCUUAUCAUUUAGAGGAAGGAGAAGUCGUAACAAAGGUUUCCAUAGGUGAACCUCGCGGAAG